CUCUGUUUCGAAUGAUUCAGGGCGAGAGGAG
ncrna:Bacillus coahuilensis m4-4 L31-Firmicutes ribosomal protein leader